rnacentral:sRNA from 1 species
UCAAGGUUGAUAAAUUGAACAGCGCUGAA